rnacentral:rRNA from 1 species
CUUCCGUAGGGUGAACCUGCGGAAGGAUCAUUACCGAGUGAGGGCCCUCUGGGUCCAACCUCCCACCCGUGUCUAUCGUACCUUGUUGCUUCGGCGGGCCCGCCGUUUCGACGGCCGCCGGGGAGGCCUUGCGCCCCCGGGCCCGCGCCCGCCGAAGACCCCAACAUGAACGCUGUUCUGAAAGUAUGCAGUCUGAGUUGAUUAUCGUAAUCAGUUAAAACUUUCAACAACGGAUCUCUUGGUUCCGGCAUCGAUGAAGAACGCAGCGAAAUGCGAUAAGUAAUGUGAAUUGCAGAAUUCAGUGAAUCAUCGAGUCUUUGAACGCACAUUGCGCCCCCUGGUAUUCCGGGGGGCAUGCCUGUCCGAGCGUCAUUGCUGCCCUCAAGCACGGCUUGUGUGUUGGGCCCCCGUCCCCCUCUCCCGGGGGACGGGCCCGAAAGGCAGCGGCGGCACCGCGUCCGGUCCUCGAGCGUAUGGGGCUUUGUCACCUGCUCUGUAGGCCCGGCCGGCGCCAGCCGACACCCAACUUUAUUUUUCUAAGGUUGACCUCGGAUCAGGUAGGGAUACCCGCUGAACUUAAGCAUAUCAAUAAGCGGAGGAA